CGACAUUCUGUUCUCGUAGUUUUCUCUUCGCAUUGUUCGCUGAAGAAGCACGAUUCGUUGACGUUAGCGCCUGAAAAAGUAUUUUUUGAUUAUUGCUGAAAAUUAUUGAUCUGGGAUUGUUGGAUGUAUUUAACAUAGAGAAAGUGUAGGGGAUUUUGCUUUGAGGGUUCAGAAACAUCCUCAAUUUGGAAGAUUCUUGGGUAAGAGGAAUUGGGCUUGGAAAACAGUUAAUUGACUCUAUUAAUCGUCAGAAAGGUUUCAUGCCUGACGUUUUGUUUGUCUUUUAACAACAGACAUGAAACAUUAUGGCACAGUCAACGGGAUCUCUUUGGCAAUAGGUUAGACAAAAGAUUUUCUCUUCUAUGGGCUUCUCGAAAUCUUCUCUAACUUUUUCAAAGUUAGAUCACAAAACGUAUACUCUUUCGCUAUUAUUAAAGUUUCUCGUAACAUCCUUUCUUGGAACUUGAGCUAUCCUGACCGACAGAGACUGCUAUUGUCUCCAGUAGAUGUUGUGAUGCAUCAGUUUGAUACUUCAGUGGUCUAUUGGAUGCUAGGGGAAGUUUGAAGGGAGAAGCAACACUUGUUAAGGGAACACUUGUGGUGAUAUUGAUUUUAUUUUUAAAAAAUUGCCAAUAAUCCUUUAUGGGUAAUAGUAGGAUUUAAAAUAAUAUAAUUAAAAUUAGCACUGGAGCUCUUUUUAACAUAGAACAUCUAACAUCAAUAAAGACACUUCUACGGGCUGUAAAGGUAUAGCUACUCUCGUAGCCAUUUUGUCAUACUAACUGGAAUUGCAAGGAAAACAGCCAUUUAAACGUAAUGGAGCGUACCAAGGCUGUUGCAAAUUGUCGAACUGUGAACUGACAAUUUUUUUCUGCUUCUGCACUGGUACAGUCUGUUACUCCAAGUACCUUGUAAGCUCGAACCACAAGAAAGGAUGGGUGAAUUCUAUAAUAGUAAAUCCUUUGCAGUGGAUGAGUUCCCUACUGCCGAAUUCUUAUAGUUCAAUUCAUGG